ensembl:lncRNA
GGGACCCAACUCUUCAUACACUUUCAGUCAAAGGAGGCUAAAUCAGAGCCAUGGUUCUGAGAGGUCACAUUCCAGAGUGGGCCGGUGCUGAGGUCACCCAGCCGCGCAGUGAAUCAUCUGGAUGGAAGGUCACCUUAAGCUCGUCCUCCUGUGGUCAGCUCCACGGGGUGCGGCCUUUGUCAACAGCUGUGGAGAAACCUGACUGAUCCUGUCUCAAGAUUAAAACCCCUCCUGGUUUCAAGACGGUGAAAUCGGUAGCGGCAAGGCCACUUGAGACCCACGCUUGGACCUCCAACAUCAUCACUUGUACUGCAGUCUACUGUUAAAGCAAGAUACAAAGUACCCAGAUUCAAAGAGGCAGAGAAAAAGACUCCGUCUCUUGAUGGGGAGCAUAGGGGCAGGCUAACAGAAGUGGGAGAAAUCUACGGCCAGUUUUUACAAUCUCUCCCAGUGAGCAAAUAACCCCACCUGGAUAAGGAGGAUGUUCUUCUCCAGUGCUCGGCAAACUUGGACAGGUACAUGAAUCCCCUGGGGGUCUUUUAACAUGUAAAUUCUGACUUACUGGGUCUGGUGUGGCAGCUUUUUGUUGUUCAGUUGCUAAGUCGUGUCCAACUCUUUGUGACCCCAUGGACUGCAGCAUACCAGGCUUCCCUGCCCUUCACUGUCUCCCAGAGUUUGCCCAAAUUCAUGUACGUUGAAUCGAUGAUGCCAUCCAACCAUCUCGUCCUCUGUUGCCCACUUCUCCUUGUCGUCAGUCUUUCCCAGCCUCAGGG